rnacentral:rRNA from 1 species
GAUCCUGGCUCAGGACGAACGCUGGCGGCGUGCUUAACACAUGCAAGUCGAACGCUGAAGCCUAGCUUGCUGGGUGGAUGAGUGGCGAACGGGUGAGUAACACGUGAGUAACCUGCCCUCUUCUUUGGGAUAACGCCCGGAAACGGGUGCUAAUACUGGAUAUUCACUGGCCUUCGCAUGGGGUUGGUGGAAAGGUUUUUCUGGUGGGGGAUGGGCUCGCGGCCUAUCAGCUUGUUGGUGGGUGAUGG